GCACCGCGGAUUAGUGGCGAACGGGUGAGUAAGACGUGAGUAACCUGCCCUUGACUCUGGGAUAAGCCUGGGAAACUGGGUCUAAUACUGGAUAUGACUGUCCCGCGCAUGCGGUGGUGGUGGAAAGCCUUCGGGUGGUUUUGGAUGGACUCACGGCCUAUCAGCUUGUUGGUGGGGUAAUGGCUCACCAAGGCGACGACGGGUAGCCGGCCUGAGAGGGUGACCGGCCACACUGGGACUGAGACACGGCCCAGACUCCUACGGGAGGCAGCAGUGGGGAAUAUUGCACAAUGGGCGGAAGCCUGAUGCAGCGACGCCGCGUGAGGGAUGACGGCCUUCGGGUUGUAAACCUCUUUCAGCAGGGAACAAGGCCGGGCUGUUGUCCGGUUGAGGGUACUUGCAGAAGAAGCGCCGGCUAACUACGUGCCAGCAG
rnacentral:rRNA from 1 species